rnacentral:rRNA from 1 species
UACGUAGGGCGCAAGCGUUGUCCGGAAUUAUUGGGCGUAAAGAGCUCGUAGGCGGUCUGUUGCGUCUGCUGUGAAAACCCGGGGCUUAACCCCUGGCUUGCAUUGGAUACGGACAGACUAGAGGUAGGUAGGGGAGAAUGGAAUUCCCGGUGUAGCGGUGAAAUGCGCAGAUAUCAGGAGGAACACCGGUGGCGAAGGCGGGUCUCUGGGCCGUAACUGACGCUGAGGAGCGAAAGCGUGGGGAGCGAACAGG